rnacentral:rRNA from 1 species
CCGCACAAGCGGUGGAUGAUGUGGUUUAAUUCGAUGCAACGCGAAAAACCUUACCCACCUUUGACAUGGCAGGAACUUACCAGAGAUGGUUUGGUGCUCGAAAGAGAACCUGCACACAGGUGCUGCAUGGCUGUCGUCAGCUCGUGUCGUGAGAUGUUGGGUUAAGUCCCGCAACGAGCGCAACCCUUGCCAUUAGUUGCUACAUUCAGUUGAGCACUCUAAUGGGACUGCCGGUGACAAACCGGAGGAAGGUGGGGAUGACGUCAAGUCCUCAUGGCCCUUAUAGGUGGGGCUACACACGUCAUACAAUGGCUGGUACAAAGGGUUGCCAACCCGCGAGGGGGAGCUAAUCCCAUAAAGCCAGUCGUAGUCCGGAUCGCAGUCUGCAACUCGACUGCGUGAAGUCGGAAUCGCUAGUAAUCGUGGAUCAGAAUGUCACGGUGAAUACGUUCCCGGGUCUUGUACACACCGCCCGUCACACCAUGGGAGCGGGUCUCGCCAGAAGUAGGUAGCCUAACCGCAAGGAGGGCGCUUACCACGGCGGGGUUCGUGACUGGGGUG